GCUGGCGGCGUGCCUCAGACAUGCAAGUCGAACGAUUAAACUCUUCUUCGGAAGAGAUAUAGAGUGGCGCACGGGUGAGUAACACGUAGGUAAUUUACCUCUGGGUGGGGAAUAACUUGGGGAAACCCAAGCUAAUACCGCAUAAUGCAGCGGCUCCUAAUGGAGACAGUUGUUAAAGCUUUCGGGUGCCUGGAGAGAAGCCUGCGGCGGAUUAGGUAGUUGGUAAGGUAAUGGCUUACCAAGCCUGCGAUCCGUAUCCGGUCUAAGAGGACGGUCGGACACACUGACACUGAAUAACGGGUCAGACUCCUACGGGAGGCAGCAGUCGGGAAUUUUGGGCAAUGGGCGCAAGCCUGACCCAGCAACGCCGAAGUGAAGGAUGAAGUAUUUCGGUAUGUAACUUCGGAAGAAUGG
rnacentral:rRNA from 1 species